rnacentral:rRNA from 1 species
UACGUAGGGGGCAAGCGUUAUCCGGAAUCAUUGGGCGUAAAGCGCGUGUAGGCGGUUCCGUAAGUCCGCUCUGAAAGCCCAGGGCUCAACCCUGGGAGGCGGGUGGAUACUACGGAACUGGAGUACGGAAGAGGAGAUUGGAAUUCCUGGUGUAGCGGUGAAAUGCGCAGAUAUCAGGAGGAACACCGGUGGCGAAGGCGGUUCUCUGGGCAUGUCCUGACGCUGAGGAGCGAAAGUGUGGGGAGCGAACAGG